rnacentral:rRNA from 1 species
GAGCUUGACUGCGAGACCUACAAGUCGAGCAGGGACGAAAGUCGGGCUUAGUGAUCCGGCGGUGCCGUAUGGAAGGGCCGUCGCUCAACGGAUAAAAGCUACCCCGGGGAUAACAGGCUUAUCUCCCCCAAGAGUCCACAUCGACGGGGAGGUUUGGCACCUCGAUGUCGGCUCAUCGCAUCCUGGGGCUGUAGUCGGUCCCAAGGGUUGGG